GAUAAUGGGUUUAGCUAUGGUGAUGAUUAGUUGCUAUUGAUGACUAAGUUUAUCAUAUUGAUUAGUUAUUUAACGAGGAUUUAUGGACUAGCGAUGCUAGUUAAUAAGAGAUGUUAGUUGAGAGAUGAAUAAGUGUAUAAAGGGUGAUUAGUAGCCUUUUGUUAGAUGGUAACUAGUGGGAUUAUGUUGGCUAGAAAUGAAUAUGGGUUAAUUGAUGAAUAUGGUCUAGUGGUGAAUCUUGACUAGAUGCUACUUUUGGCUAGUGAGUAAAUAAUGGUUAGUCGUUGAUCCGUGAAUUGUGACUAAGUGAUGAAUAGUGGAUGGAUAAUAAUUAGAGGUUAUAUGAUGACUAAAGACUAAUUGGUUUCGUAAUGAGUGUUGUCUAGCUAAUAAUGAGUAAUAGUGUGUAUUGAUUAGAUGGAUACCUAUAUAGUGGUAGGGUUACGAUUAUGAGUAUAUUGGUAUAUGUUAUUCAACUAUGAUUAUUGGUAAUGACUACGAAUGUUGGAAAAUGACCAUUUGAUGGAAAUUGUGGAAAACUAUUGAUAAUGAGGAAGUUGGUUAUAUAUAUAUUGAUGAUUUGAUUCUUUUAUUCUCUCUUGGAUGUUCUCUCCGGUGGUAUGGGAUGCCGUGAUGGGUUCAUUACUUUAUGCUCUCUGAGGUGUACUCUCCAGUGGUAUGAGAUAUCGUGAUGGGUUCUUUACUUUAUGCACU
rnacentral:lncRNA from 1 species